UACGAAGGGGGCUAGCGUUGCUCGGAAUCACUGGGCGUAAAGCGCACGUAGGCGGAUCGUUAAGUCGGGGGUGAAAGCCCGGAGCUCAACUCCGGAACUGCCUUCGAUACUGGCGAUCUUGAGUUCGGGAGAGGUGAGUGGAACUGCGAGUGUAGAGGUGAAAUUCGUAGAUAUUCGCAAGAACACCAGUGGCGAAGGCGGCUCACUGGCCCGAUACUGACGCUGAGGUGCGAAAGCGUGGGGAGCAAACAGG
rnacentral:rRNA from 1 species